ACUGCUCAGUAACACGUGGAUAACCUGCCCAAGGGUCUGGGAUAACCCCGGGAAACUGGGGAUAAUACCGGAUGGAUCACUAGUGCUGGAAUGCUUGGUGGUCGAAAGGCAACGCCUUUGGAUGGGUCUGCGGCGGAUUAGGUUGACGCCGGUGUAACGUACCGGCGUGCCUGUAAUCCGUACGGGUUGUGGGAGCAAGAGCCCGGAGAUGGAUUCUGAGACACGAAUCCAGGCCCUACGGGGCGCAGCAGGCGCGAAAACUCUACAAUGCAGGCAACUGCGAUAGGGGGACAUCGAGUGGCAUCCACCUUGGGUGCCUGUCCAACCGUCUAAAAAACGGUUGUUAGCAAGGGCCGGGUAAGACCGGUGCCAGCCGCCGCGGCAAUACCGGCGGCUCGAGUGGUGGCCGAUAUUAUUGAGUCUAAAGGGUCCGUAGCCGGCUUUGCAAGUCCCCUGGGAAAUCCAGCGGCUUAACCGUUGGGCUUUCAUGGGAUACUACAUUGCUUGGGACUGGGAGAGGUAGGAGGUACUCGGGGGGUAGGGGUGAAAUCCUGUAAUCCUCCGGGGACCACCGGUGGCGAAGGCGUCCUACCAGAACAGGUCCGACGGUGAGGGACGAAAGCUAGGGGCACGAACCGGAUUAGAUACCCGGGUAGUCCUAGCCGUAAACGAUGCCCGCUAGGUGUCACGACGGUCGUGAAUCGUCGUGGUGCCGUAGGGAAGCCGCGAAGCGGGCCACUUGGGAAGUACGGCCGCAAGGCUGAAACUUAAAGGAAUUGGCGGGGGAGCAC
rnacentral:rRNA from 1 species